rnacentral:rRNA from 1 species
CACCGCCCGUCACACCAUGAAAGUUGAGCCUACCAGAAGUCGCUGCGCUAACCGUAAGGAGGCAGGCGCCCAAGGUAGGAUCGAUGAUUGGGGUG